GCAAGGGCGCAGCUGUUAGCCAACAUAUUUUUGGUGCCGAAACCCGGGAGGAAUGAUCUUGGCGAUUGGAUUUAGAGUGUGAUUGCCAGUGGAUAGACAGAUUCGGGUGAGUAUAAUUUAACGUUGAUGUGUUUGGGUAGGUGUUCAUUAUGGCUGAACAUUAACCCGGGAGGAAUGAUCUUGGCGAUUGGAUUUAGAGUGUGAUUGCCAGUGGAUAGACUGAUUCGGUCAUUGGCGCGGUACAAAUCGGAGGAGUUGGGACAUACCAAGAGUCAUCUGGAAGCCAGAUUGGAUUUGAUUGCCCACUUUCACGCAGAUUUUCAGCGCAAUCAUCACCAACUGGUGCAAGAACGAGAUAAUGCAUAGAUAAAGGGCAGAUAUUUUGACUGUUUCGAAGAAACCUACAUAAUGGGAGUAGCUGAGAUUCGAAAUUAGUUGCAGAGACAAGGAUCGGAGAAUCCCGGCGUCGACUGCAUUUGAUGAGUCUUGUUUGCAUCAGACGGUUCAUGAACAAAUGGGACCAAAUUUGGAGAAAGUGAAACUCCCAACAGUUAAACUGCCUACCUUCAGCGGGAAAUUUAUUGAGUGGCCGGCGUUUAAGGAGGUGUUUUUAACAAGAGUACACCACUGUGACAAGCUGACGGACUUACAUCGUUUUCAUUAUUUGAAGGAUUCAUUCUGUUGGAGACGCAGCAAUUACCAAUAAAAUAUGGAGAGGCGGAAGGUUUGAGAAGAUUUGUGCAAACAUCCCGCUCAUGUGUGAAUUCAUUGGAGAAGACUGGUGUGGAUGUGCGACAACAGUCUGAAAUUUUAGUGUACUACAUGAUAAAGAGAUUACCGAAUCAAUUAAGAGUGGAUUGGGAGCGGUCAAUAUCUUCAACGCAGAAUCUGCCGAGCUUUGAGGAGCUCAGUCAGUAUCUUGAAACACAGUACAGAACAAUGAUUACAGCGUCAGCAGGUAAUAUCGAGGGAACUCUAUCACGGGAUAGACAUCGGAAUGCAAAGCCAGGUGUACAUGGGUUACGAGUUAACCAGAACUACAUGCACACCUUAUCGGAGUAUGUAGGAUAUACCAAGACAUGAGGCUAUCGGAACGAAAAACAUGUGUAGUGAGGCAUCGACUGUGUUUUAGAUCCAUGUGACAGUGCGGUAAAUUGUGGAAAAUGUCAAGGACGGCAUCAUAUGCAGACAAGUCAGGAUGCGAGAGGUCGCUUGGCACACUAAGGAAGGGAGUUAUCCCAACAGCAUCUGCGAAUGCUUUAGAGAGUACAACAGAAAUUGCGGUAAGGCAUAAAGACGAGGUUUUAUUACCAACAGCAAUAGUGUUGGCAGAGUCGAUAGAAGGCUAUCCCUUACAGUUUAGAGCGUUUUUGGAUCAAGGUUCAUAAGUUUCGUUCAUUUCAGAGAAUGCAGCUCAGCAGCUACGUUUACGGCGCAAACAGGCUCACAUCACGAUUACUGGACUAGCAGAUACAAAAAUUACAGAUAUGGCAGCAGAGGUGGAGCUAGUCAUAAGAUCAAUCUACAACCCACAUAUGAAAUACAAGCGGCUCGCGUCAGUAAUACCCCUUGUGAGUAAGCGGUCCAAAAUUGCACGUACAUCUUCAAGGAAUCAUUCUCAAUUGGCGAGGGCUAAAAUGGGUAUUUAUGGCGGAUGUUGAAAAAAUGUACAGAUGUAUUAAUAUUCCACCCGACGACGCGCAGUACCAACGUAUUCUAAGGAAUCCGGACACUAGUGAUUAUGUGGCAGAAUAUGCCUGCACAACGGUAAUGUUUGGAACGAGCUCCGCACCUUAUUUAGCCAUGAGUGCGAGAAGUAUCCAUUGCGGUGGAUGUUAUAAAUCAUCAAAUGUAUGUAGAUGACAUACUGUCUGGUGGUGACAGUAUUGCAGAAACGGAGGAUGUCAAGAACCAAGUGAUUGGAAUGCUUCGUAGUGGUACAUUCGAACUACGGAAGUGGUCGAGUAAUUGCCCAAAGCUAUUAGAGAACAUACCAGUUGAGCAUCGAGAAUCAAGGGAUUGUUACACAUGGAAGGUAAUGAAACUAUUCGCACUUUAGGUCUAUACUAGAGUCCCAAAGAAGAUGAGUUCCGUUUUGCUUUGCACGUCGUUCCAUCAAUGAGCUCACCAACAAAGAGGGCAAUACUAUCAGCAAUUGCACGACGGUUUGAUCCCAUGGGAUGGCUUAGUCCGAUAAUGAUUACUGCCAAAAUUCUCAUGCAGCAACUGUGGAAGGAGAAAAUUGGCUGGGAUAGCACACUACCGGACACUAUUAAGAGAGAAUGGGAGAAAUUCGUGAAAGAGUUACCAAACAUAGUAACUAUACGAAUACCACGGAAUGUUACAUGGGGGCUACCGGGUGGUGUGGCUGAAUUACACCUGUUUUGCGAUGCCUCGUCACGAGCAUAUGGAGCUGCGGCUUACUUGCGCUUCCCAAUUGGAGAGGAUUAGUAUCACACAGAGUUGCUAUUGUCAAAGGGGAGAGUAUCGCCAACUAAACAACAACUAAACACUAACCAUACCUAGGGCAGAGUUAUGUGCUGCGCUUGAAGCAGCCAAAAUGUAUAAGUAUCUAAAGGAGAAUUUAAGAAUUAACAUUAAUUAUUCGAACACUAUUUUUUGGUCAAAUUCUAUGAUAACUAUCAGUUGGAUCCGUGGUGGAGCUGCCAACUAGAAAGUAUUUGUGUCCAAUCGAAUAAACAAAAUCCUGGAAAUCUCAGACGAAAGGCAAUGGAGACACGUCGCCUCGAAAGAUAACCCUGCAGAUUAUCUAAGCCGUGGCAUGAGUGCAACCAAGUUGACUUCGUAUGAAUUAUGGUGGCAUGGGCCAUCAUGGUUACAAGGAUCGGACAUCAAAUGGCCUUGUAAUGCUAUUGAUCAGGAUUCGCUGUCGGUUGUUGACACUGAAGUCAGAAAGGUGACCUGACAUAAGAUAUCAGUGAAAGAAAUGCCAAGUGUAGCAUUUAUCAGCAAGUACUCAUCGUAUACACGACUCGUCUGGGUUAUAUCAUAUAUAAAACGUUUCGUAUAUAAUUGUCGUACAUCUGUGGCAGAACGAAGAGGAUUAGGACUCUCAAUUGUGGAAUUAGAAGAGGGCCUACGUGAAUUGAUUAGGAUGGUGCAGAAGGAUUGUUUUAACUCUGAAUGGAACACUAACCAUACCUAGGGCAGUGUUAUGUGCUGCGCUUGAAGCAGCCAAAAUGUAUAAGUAUCUAAAGGAGAAUCUAAGAAUUAACAUUAAUUAUUCGAACACUAUUUUUUGGUCAGAUUCUAUGAUAACUAUCAGUUGGAUCCGUGGUGGAGCUGCCAACUGGAAAGUAUUUGUGUCCAAUCGAAUAAACAAAACCCUGAAAAUCUCAGACGAAAGGCAAUGGAGACACGUCGCCUCGAAAGAUAACCCUGCAGAUUAUCUAAGCCGUGGCAUGAGUGCAACCAAGUUGGCUUCGUGUGAAUUAUGGAGGCAUUGGCCAUCAUGGUUACAAGGAUCGGACAUCAAAUGGCCUUGUAAUGCUAUUGAAUUGAAGUCAGAAAGGUGACCUGACAUAAGAUAUCAGUGGAAGAAAUGCCAAGUGUAGCAUUUAUCAGCAAGUACUCAUCGUAUACACGACUCGUCUGGAUUAUAUCAUAUAAAGCGAGCAGUUUGGGGCUCCGCAAGGGCGCAGCCUUUAGCCAACAAGGACUUUUCUUAACCAGUCAAAUUGACUGGCUCUGGUAUAAAUAGGUAUACAAAAUUUCUAGGGAAGACAAAGCUUGACAUCGUCA